UACGUAGGUGGCAAGCGUUGUCCGGAUUUAUUGGGUUUAAAGGGCGCGUAGGCGGCCCUGUAAGUCAGUGGUGAAAUACUCUAGCUUAACUAGAGGGGUGCCAAUGAUACUGCAGGGCUUGAGUACAGAUGAGGUAGGCGGAAUUGACGGUGUAGCGGUGAAAUGCAUAGAUAUCGUCAAGAACACCGAUAGCGAAGGCAGCUUACUGGGCUGUAACUGACGCUGAUGCACGAAAGUGUGGGGAUCAAACAGG
rnacentral:rRNA from 1 species